rnacentral:rRNA from 1 species
UACGUAGGGGGCGAGCGUUAUCCGGAAUUACUGGGCGUAAAGCGCGCGCAGGCGGCCUGUUAAGUCGGGUGUGAAAGACCACGGCUCAACCGUGGGGGUGCAUCCGAAACUGGCGGGCUUGAGUGCAGGAGAGGGGAGCGGAAUUCCCGGUGUAGCGGUGGAAUGCGUAGAGAUCGGGAGGAACACCAGUGGCGAAGGCGGCUCUCUGGCCUGUAACUGACGCUGAGGCGCGAAAGCGUGGGGAGCAAACAGG